rnacentral:rRNA from 1 species
AGAGGGUGCGAGCGUUAAUCGGACUUACUGGGCGUAAAGGGUGCGUAGGUGGUGAAUUAAGUCAGUUGUGAAAGGCCAGGGCUUAACCUUGGAACUGCAAUUGAAACUGGUUGACUAGAGUCGAGUAGAGGGGAGUGGAAUUUCCGGUGUAGCGGUGAAAUGCGUAGAUAUCGGAAGGAACAUCAGUGGCGAAGGCGACUCCCUGGACUCAGACUGACGCUGAGGCACGAAAGCGUGGGUAGCGAACAGGGAUUAGAUACCCUGGUAGUCCACGCUGUAAACGAUGAGUACUAGCUGUUGGUGGCCUUGAGCUAUCAGUAGCGGAGCAAACGCAUUAAGUACUCCGCCUGGGACUACGGCCGCAAGGCUA